GACAGAGGAUGCAAGCGUUAUCCGGAAUGAUUGGGCGUAAAGCGUCUGUAGGUGGCUUUUAAGUCCGCCGUCAAAUCCCAGGGCUCAACCCUGGACAGGCGGUGGAAACUACCAAGCUGGAGUACGGUAGGGGCAGAGGGAAUUCCGGUGGAGCGGUGAAAUGCGUAGAGGAUCGGAAAGAACACCAACGGCGAAAGCAACUCUGCUGGGCCGACACUGACACUGAGAGACGAAAGCUAGGGGAGCGAAUGGG
rnacentral:rRNA from 1 species